CACAAGGCAAAGAGAUGCAAAGAACGCCCAUUCUUAUUUUAGAUGGACGACAACUAAAUCAGAAAGAAGAGGACAGAAUAGAGCAAAAUGGAGUCAGUAAAAUAUCCUCACACAUUCUUCAAGCAACCAUGCAGUGACUCGAACUGUGCAAAGUGGAGGACACGAGGCAAGAAUUUGUCCCUCCUUCAGGAAAUUGGUCAUCAGACCCCCAAGUUUUAAGCAGACAGAAGCAGAGCCAUACAAGUUGGAGCAGGCACGAGGAACCCAAGGUGUCCAGUUUCCUUCCCACUCCUGGCUGUGCUCCCUGAGGGCUCGGCAGAGUCCAGUCCUAAAAUCUACGAGACAGCACUAUUUCUAAAGUUCUUUCAAGUUCUAAAUUUCUUGGAUUUCCUGUCAUUCUAUAAAACAUUUUAUUCUAAACUCUUACUAUCUUAAAACUCAUUCUACUCCUAUCUGUACUUUUUUUCAAUAAAACGUGGAGA